CCUCCCUCCCGCGGGAGGCGGUGGGUGGACCCUGCCCGGGCCGCCGGACCUCGCGUCCACGGUCGCGUGCAUGCGGGGCUGGUGGGGCCCGCGGACAGCGCGUGCACCGGAGCCGCGCUUCACCGCAGCGCACCGAGGGCCCAGGGCGCGGCGGGUCCCACGCGUCUCCCGCCCCGCUGUCUGCUCUCUGCCUCGCGCGCCCGCUGGGACCUCGUGCCGCCCCAAACCCAAGCGGGGGCCGACUGGGUGCAAGGCUGGGCCAGAGGACCUGGAGGCGGCCCCGCGGACGCGGAGUACAGGCGAGGAGGUCAGUCUGCCCCUUACUCCUGUACACCGCUUCUCCUAGUUGUCCUGGCAGGAGGCUGGACGCGAGGUCCAGCCUGUCCCUGGCUGCAGCCCUGGUUGGAGUCAGCGGGGUGGGAAGGAGCCCAGGGAGGAGGGAAUCCACCACCGGGGUGCCGCAGCCUUCCAGGUAGUGUUGCACAGGACCUCCCUGCGUGCUCCGUGAUUUCACCCCAUUUUAUACAUGAACAAUGGCCCCGGCGAUCAAGGUCAUUCAGCUCUGAGUGACCAAGUCCAGCUGCGAAUACGAACGGGGGACUCAGGGUCAUUGCUCUUCACCCUCACUGAGUCCCUCACUGACCAUCACAGGCCUUAUCCCGGGUUGGGUCUCCCCCAGCCAGGCAACCACCUGUGCCCUCAGCUCACCCUCGACCUGGAGGGGGGCCAUGUGAGGGCCAGUGGCUGCAGGGGGCUCUGAGGGGCAAAGGCUUGGUGGGCUCCCUGGGGGGGGGGAAGGCCCUAGGGAGGCUGGAGUGGGGUGAGGGGCACACACUGGGGCCGGCAUCUGGACCACAUCGUGCAGGGCUCUGGAUGUUGGGCCAGGAGUCGGGGGUCACUGCAGGUUGGGGGUUCAGAGGACACAAUCGGGGCAGUCUUACCAGAGCCACAGCAUCCCAGAUUUGGAGGGAGCUUGUGGGCGUGUUAUUGCCCCCACUCAAGCAGGGAACCCCAAAACCAACGAGGAACGAGCAGGCUGUCCGUUCACUCCUGUGUAAUGGGGGCUAUGGCGGUCCUCCGCCUCCUUCUGGUGUGGGGCAGGCUGCUUGGAGGGCCCAGACCUAGCCACGUCCCAAAGUAGCCGCCUAAGAGGAGUUGGGACCCAGAGGUGUUCCGGCCAUAAUCUCACUUGAUCCUCACCCCAGGGCCUCAGAUGAACGGUCCCACAUCCCACGGGUGCUAGGACAGACUCUCGACCCUGUGUUCUCUCAGCUGUCACCCCUCACGCAGUCGUUCAAUACUGACAGAGUGCCUCCUGGGUUUCAGGUACCAGGGGAACCUGGGCCAGCCACAGUCUGUCCCGUCUUGGAGUUUACCAAUUGGGCAAGGGGUGGAGAUGGGCAGACAUUGUAGAUGGCACAGGGAUGAGGAGGGUUCGUGGGAACACCAAAAGGCACUCUGGAGCAGGGCACAAAUCAAGGCCGGCUUCCUGGAGGUGAUGUCAAGCAUGAGUCCCCAGAAAUCGGCCGGGUGAUAGGGCAAGCAGGCCUGACUGGUGGGCAGUAUGAGUAGAGGUGUGCGGGCCAGGCCCGGGGACUGAGCCAUGAUGUUGGACUGUCACGUGUGGGCCAUGAGGGACAGAAAGCUUAAGUGUCAGGGGCCUCCACGCAGACAUUUUGUACUUGUGAUUUUGUCUAUUUCUUAAAGAAGUACCUUUGCGAUUUAGAAAACUUCGAAGCCCGCAGAGCUGAUGGGCCCUGUCAACAGUGGUACCUGUGGCUCAAAGCUGAUCCUGUCAGACCAGGGUUGGGGGGGGUGCUGCUAGGACUGUCUCUGGGCCCUCCCACCUCCUUCUGCUGAGUCAGGC